GCCCAUAAUUCCUGUUGAAGAUAAAUUUUCUUUUCAUUGGCACUUUUCACCCAUUUUUUAGUUAGAUAGGCUGGUUGUCAAGCCAUGAUCACUUACUCAGGCACGUUAAAGUUUGUUGUUCUCUUUAUGCUUAUUGACAACCUUCAGUUAGCUGUACCAAGCCACACACAUUCAGCAUAUAAAUAAGUAGACCAGGUUAGCCCAAUUUCCACAUCACAGCAGUAGGCCCAUUACUUGAAAUUGCUUUUGAAGCCUUUUGAGCGUGUUAUUUGGAACUGCUUUGAAUAAUA
rnacentral:misc_RNA from 1 species